UGGGGAAUAUUGCACAAUGGGCGAAAGCCUGAUGCAGCGACGCCGCGUGAGGGAUGACGGCCUUCGGGUUGUAAACCUCUUUCAGUAGGGACGAAGCGCAAGUGACGGUACCUGCAGAAGAAGCACCGGCUAACUACGUGCCAGCAGCCGCGGUAAUACGUAGGGUGCGAGCGUUGUCCGGAAUUACUGGGCGUAAAGAGCUCGUAGGCGGUUUGUCACGUCGUCUGUGAAAUCCUAGGGCUUAACCCUGGACGUGCAGGCGAUACGGGCUGACUUGAGUACUACAGGGGGGACUGGAAUUUCUGGUGUAGCGGUGGAAUGCACAGAUAUCAGGAAGAACACCGAUGGCGAAGGCAGGUCUCUGGGUAGUAACUGACGCUGAGGAGCGAAAGCAUGGGUAGCGAACAGG
rnacentral:rRNA from 1 species